GUCUGCAUUCACUUCAACAGCACAUAUACUAAACUUGGAAAGAUACAGAGAAGGUUAGCAUGGCCCACGUACAAGGACACCCAAAAAAAAGUACUGUGUGUCUUAAGU